rnacentral:rRNA from 1 species
GAUGAACGCUGGCGGCGUGCUUAACACAUGCAAGUCGAACGAUGAAGCCCAGCUUGCUGGGUGGAUUAGUGGCGAACGGGUGAGUAACACGUGAGUAACCUGCCCUUAACUCUGGGAUAAGCCUGGGAAACUGGGUCUAAUACCGGAUAGGAGCGUCCACCGCAUGGUGGGUGUUGGAAAGAUUUAUCGGUUUUGGCUGGACUCGCGGCCUAUCAGCUUGUUGGUGAGGUAAUGGCUCACCAAGGCGACGACGGGUAGCCGGCCUGAGAGGGUGACCGGCCACACUGGUACUGAGACACGGCCCAGACUCCUACGGGAGGCAGCAGUGGGGAAUAUUGCCCAAUGGGCGCAAGCCUGAUGCAGCGACGCCGCGUGAGGGAUGACGGCCUUCGGGUUGUAAACCUCUUUCAGUAGGGAAGAAGCGAAAGUGACGGUACCUGCAGAAGAAGCACCGGCUAACUACGUG